UGGUGGAGUGAUUUGUCUGCUUAAUUCCGAUAACGAACGAGACCUUAACCUGCUAAAUAGCCAGGCCGGCUUUUGCUGGUCGCCGGCUUCUUAGAGGGACUAUCGGCUCAAGCCGAUGGAAGUUUGAGGCAAUAACA
rnacentral:rRNA from 1 species